rnacentral:ribozyme from 1 species
UUUUUUUUUUUUUUUUUUUUUUUUCUUG